CCGUUCCAGGUGCAGGCGAGGCCCCUGCGGAGCAUCGACCUUGCCCGGGCCCCAGACUCCGUCUUCUUUCCGGCAUCGGAAAGUUCGGCAUCGUGCCCACAAUCUCGUCCAGAGCCUCGCCUCCCUGUUCUUCGCCUGCGCCACACUUCUCCGCCCCGUCAUCCUGUCCAAGGGCCCGUCGGCUCAAGUGGUAGCAAUACGCCUGUCGGAAACAUCGGGAAAAGCCCAUCUUCGCCGUAAUCGUUGGAUCACAUCUCGAAAACUUUGCGUUCGGUUAUAUUUCUUGGUGAAGGAUGUAAUGAAGGAGCUUUCUUUGUGCAAGGAGGGAGACAUGAUCAUACAUUAGCUGACAGAGUUGGCUAGCAAAGAAUAACUAUGUCUGCUUGUUGUUGAUGAGAGUUCCCAUUUACUUGGGAUCUCUACAGAUACAAUAUCUCUGGCACAUAAUCAAUGCCAGUGAGUGCAGCUAUCUUCACCCUCACAGUUUGUGAGAUGUGCAACAGAUGGAAUUACCCCUGUCAGCAGUGCAAUUCUUACCUGUCAUCAAUGACCACAACAUUUUGUUGAUAUCAUCACCUUGCAUGGAGUGGUUUCAGCAGGUUUGUGAACUUAACCUUAACCUUAACCUUAGCAGGUUUGUCAUCAAUGACCCUAAACCUUUUGUUCUUUAACAUCCAUUAAUAUCUUCUAUGGUGUUGAUGUAUCUCAGCUUGCCCAGCAGUAGCAAAGGGGUGUAUGGACAAUAUUUACUUCUUUUUUUUUUUCUUUUCUUUCAAAGCAAUUUGUUUCACUAUCUUUGCUGAUGUAAUAUGGAUCUACAAAGGCAUUUAUUACACUGUAAUUUGCACAUGCCAUGCAUGUAAAAAUGAAUGACUUUUGUGUUUACAAAAGAAUAGAGCACAUCAAAGAGGUUAUGUAAUAUAAAUACAUGAUAACUGCCUAACUUUUGAUUAUCUGUGAAUAUUUAAAUAUACUGGGCAGAAGGAAAAUGGCAUAGCAUUUUAAAAUCCAUUAAUUGUUUACUAUCCACACAGUAUAUUUAAAUGUACUGUGUGGAUCAUUCUCAUUUCUUUUCUGUUUCUUUCUUUUUUAAUAUAUAUCUAUUUCAAAGUAGGAACUAAUUAAUAAGAGAAAGAAUACCCUCACCAUGUAAAAUCUUUUUCGGUUCAGGAGGAUAGCAUAUAUGAAACGUGGGAAAUACAUGAGCUAAACUGUUGUAUAGAGUGUAUACUGGAAUCAAGAUUCAGCCUAGGCUUUAAUCUCUAUGUUGGUAUCUAUAUUGGCUUUUUGUUUAUAGGACAUAUAUGCAUUAGCACAUGCAUCAUGCCAUAACACAAAGGACUUUAGAUUUGUCGUGUCGAAAUGAGUAGGAACAAGAUUUGGUCAAAUUCUAGUGGUCCACCUAGGAUCUGAAUCCAAUAAUCUUUUGGAUUCAAACUGAUGAUAUAUGACCAAUAUUUGGAUCAAAUCAUAGUUGGUUAUCAGACUCAUCCCUUUUGUAAAUCUAGAUCCACAACAAAUCAAAUAAAUAUUAAUGUAUCUUAAGUGAAAACAUGCUGAAAAAUUGGUUUGGAUUUUGGAAUAUUAUUUCCCAUUGUCAUCCCUAGAAAUGAGGAUCAAACUGUUGAGGAUGCAAAUAAAAGUCAGCUUCAGAGAGCCUACAGGUGGGAGUAUAGGAGAUAGCUUGGGGGUUGGGGCACUUAGUCAUAUAAGUUGGACCAACUCCAUCCAGUGACUUGGGUUCAAAGGUCUUUUCCAUCUUCAGGAAAGGACAGCCACUUGAGGUGAUUGCACCAAGAAUAAAGAAGAAAAUGAAAGGAAGAAAUAAUUAAAGUCAAUCUGUGGUUGCACUUUAUAUUUUAUUAUUCAUUAUAGUGGAAGGUAGGCCAGCUUGCUCAAGUUAUUGGUGGAAGCUUAGAUCAACAAUUGGGAACGCUUUAUAAAUUUUUUAUGCAAUUGCCUCUGCCCAGAUUUAAGGGAGUGCACAUUGACGUUAAGAUUCCAGUAAGAAAGGAAAUUUCUGGCCCAUAUUCAUAACUUGAAUCCUUAAAUAUUUCAUUGUUAUUUAGCCACAAUAUUUUUUACAUUUGCUCAUGCUUUUUUAAGUUUAUGCUUGUUCUUACUUGCUAUGUGUAAAGGUCUUGUUCUUAGACUAACCAUCCCUUUCUUUAUUUUGCAAGUUUACCCUUUGCACAGUAGCUAGGGUUGUUAGUUUCCAGUAAUAAUAUGAACUUUACUCUAAAUGAGGGUUGCAACACAAACUUCAAAUAUUUAGGGGCAGAUAAUGAAAGAAAAACCAUCUCAAGUUUUAGAAGUGUGGAUUCCCUUAUCUGUAACUGUGUUUCUUUUUAAAAUUUUAAAUCAAAUUGAUACUUCAUUAUAUAUUAUCUUCUUUGGUCUUUGUUCUUUUCUGUAUUUGGAGUAAGAAAUUAUUUCCUUCCCAACAAAUGUGAGGUUCUUGGGGUAAUUUAGGAACUAAUGAAUGGAGAUUCCUGCAUGAAUAGGUUUUUAAGACUGAUAAACUUCCAAUACAAAUUCAGGUUUAAAAUGAAAUAAGAACUUUCCUUAACCAAAAAGCAAUGUUUGCCAGAUUGCUGAACUAAACUGCUACGAAAAAAAAGAUCAUUGAGGUGAAAUAAAACACAAUAUUAUCAUAUGACUUCUGAGAGCACAAAGAAGGCACACACCACUAUGUUUUUAAUAAAUAUUGUCAGGAUAUCAUUCCGACACAAUCAUUCACUUCAAAAAUCUUGAGCAGCAUCACAUAUUUGUAUACAUCACAUUUUUUGGUGUUU